AUCAUCAUCAUCAUCAACAGAUGACAGACGGCACCCCCAGGCAAUUUGUCGGCCAUGCCGAGGCGCCGAAUGACACGGCCCUAAGCGCAAUGGGGUGCGUUGACGAAGACGUGAAAAGACGCGGUCACAGAUAAGAGCACCGCCGGAUGGAAAAACUGACAACGGAAGAAUGAGGCGGAAGGUUCUGGGCCGUGAUGAUCGAAAAGGGGACGCAGGAGAAAAAAAAGAAAAAAAAGAGGAAGCUUGAAAGCAAAACAAAGAUGGGGCAAUAUGUCCAUGGCGCAGGAACGCCACCACCCUGUCUGGCAAUCGCCCUUGCAGACGAAAUGCGUGAAACACGCACUUGGGCCCGCAGAGGAGAUGCAUCAGAUAACAAAUGAUCUCACACAAAACCUUUCAUGUCGCCAAA